UCUUUUUCUCCAUUCUCCUUCUCACGUACGUUUCUUCGCACGACCAUCUCUCUCCUCAACCUUUCCUUUAUAUCUUAUUUUGCGAAUCACAAACCUAGAUCUCUAAAGCAAGGAUUCAAAUCAUCGAUUGAAGGCAACACACGAAGCAAUUCUCAUGUAUCUCUGAUUCAUCCUAAUCGUUACCCUCUUGACCUUUAAACUUCUACAAAACCCUGCUAUGAACCGAAUUCCCUUGAUGAUUCCACUGAUUGGAUUCUAUAUAAUAUGUGGCUUCUAAUUAUUUCAAUUUUCUAAGAUUUUUCUUCAAUGGUAGCAGAUCUCUGUUAAUCUUCAAGUUAUGGUUUUUGCUCAGGAGACUAAGGUUUAGAUUGUUGGCAAUACAACUUAAGGGACUGGGUUAUUGUGGCAGGUUCGGUAUGCUAUGGGUUUUAAUCUUGAUGGGUGUUGCAUUUCAUCUUGAUGUGAAUUUGCGUAAAAAGUUAACUCUUUGUUAGAUUGUUGUAAGAAUCAGGCUCGCCGCUCUCUUUUUUUAUGAGAUUAAAAAAAAGGUAAAAUGUGGUUUCAAAGUAAGUGAUAUAGAUUAUGGUGAAAAUCGUAACAUUUUGAAAAUUUAUUUGUUUUUUCUUAUGCGCUCUGGCUAUGAAGAUGAGGAGGGGGACAUGCUCAAAG